rnacentral:tRNA from 1 species
GCGAGAGUGGCGGAAUUGGCAGACGCGCUGGAUUUAGGAUCCAGUGGGCGAACACCCUUGGGGGUUCAACUCCCCCCUCUCGCACCA